rnacentral:rRNA from 1 species
UAAUACUAGCGGUCCAAGUCGCAGCCAUUUUUAUUGGGUCUAAAACAUCCGUAGCUUGUUUGAUAAGUUUCUUGUGAAAUUUUGCAUCUUAAAUGUAGAGCGCGCAAGAAAUACUGUCAAGCUAGAGACUGGAAGACGUAACGAGUACGGCCAAAGUAGCGGUUGAAUGUGUUAAUCUUGGUCGGACUAACAAUAGCGAAGGCACGUUACGAGGACAGUUCUGACAGUAAGGGAUGAAAGCUAGGGGCGCAAAGCGGAUUAGAUACCCGUGUAGUCCUAGCCGUAAACACUGCGCACUAAACAUUAGUACCUCCUCGAGAGGUAUUGGUGCUGAAGGGAAGCCGAAGAGUGCGCUACCUGGGAAGUAUAGUCGCAAGGCCG